rnacentral:rRNA from 1 species
CACGUAGGCACAACGCGUUGUCCGGAUUUAUUGGGCGUAAAGAGCUCGUAGGCGGUUCAGUAAGUCGGGUGUGAAAACUUUGGGCUUAACCCAAAGCGUGCAUCCGAUACUGCUGUGACUUGAGUUCGGUAGGGGAGCAGGGAAUUCCUAGUGUAGCGGUGAAAUGCGCAGAUAUUAGGAGGAACACCGGUGGCGAAGGCGCUGCUCUGGGCCGAAACUGACGCUGAGGAGCGGAAAGCGUGG